GAUGAACGCUGACAGAAUGCUUAACACAUGCAAGUCAACUUGAAUUUGGGUUUUUAACUUAGGUUUGGGUGGCGGACGGGUGAGUAACGCGUAAAGAACUUGCCUCACAGCUAGGGACAACAUUUGGAAACGAAUGCUAAUACCUAAUAUUAUGAUAAUAGGGCAUCCUAUAAUUAUGAAAGCUAUAAGCGCUGUGAGAGAGCUUUGCGUCCCAUUAGCUAGUUGGAGAGGUAACGGCUCGCCAAGGCGAUGAUGGGUAGCCGGCCUGAGAGGGUGAUCGGCCACAAGGGGACGGAGACACGGCCCUUACUCCUACGGGAGGCAGCAGUGGGGAAUAUUGGACAAGGGACCAAGAGUCUGAUCCAGCAAUUCUGUGUGCACGAUGAAGUUUUUCGGAAUGUAAAGUGCUUUCAGUUGGGAAGAAAGAAAUGACGGUACCAACAGAAGAAGUGACGGCUAAAUACGUG
rnacentral:rRNA from 1 species